rnacentral:rRNA from 1 species
GACGAACGCUGGCGGCGUGCUUAACACAUGCAAGUCGAACGGUAAGGCCCUUCGGGGUACACGAGUGGCGAACGGGUGAGUAACACGUGGGUGAUCUGACCUGCACUUCGGGAUAAGCCUGGGAAACUGGGUUUAAUACCGGAUAGGACUCUGGGAUGGAUGUCCUGGGGUGGAAAGCUUUUGCGGUGUGGGAUGGGCCCGCGGCCUAUCAGCUUGUUGGUGGGGUGGUGGCCUACCAAGGCGACGACCGGUAGCCGGCCUGAGAGGGUGACCGGCCACACUGGGACUGAGAUACGGCCCAGACUCCUACGGGAGGCAGCAGUGGGGAAUAUUGCACAAUGGGCGCAAGCCUGAUGCAGCGACGCCGCGUGAGGGAUGACGGCCUUCGGGUUGUAAACCUCUUUCAGCACCGACGAAGCGCAAGUGACGGUAGGUGCAGAAGAAGGACCGGCCAACUACGUGCCAGCCGCCGCAGUAA